UACAGAGGUCUCAAGCGUUGUUCGGAUUCAUUGGGCGUAAAGGGCGCGUAGGUGGCGGGGCAAGUCUGGUGUGAAAUCCCGGGGCUCAACCCUGGAACUGCACUGGAUACUGUUUUGCUAGAGUACUGGAGAGGGAACUGGAAUUUACGGUGUAGCAGUGAAAUGCGUAGAUAUCGUAAGGAAGACCAGUGGCGAAGGCGAGUUCCUGGACAGUUACUGACACUGAGGCACGAAGGCCAGGGGAGCAAACGGG
rnacentral:rRNA from 1 species